GCCUGGGUGGUAAAAAUGGUUAACACACUCAUCUGCUAACUGAAUGGUUGGAGGUCGAGUCCUCCCAGAGGCA
rnacentral:tRNA from 1 species